rnacentral:rRNA from 1 species
UAAUACGGAGGGUGCAAGCGUUAUCCGGAUUCACUGGGUUUAAAGGGAGCGCAGGCGGAUUGGUAAGUCAGUGGUGAAAGGCUUGAGCUUAACUCGGGAACUGCCAUUGAUACUAUCAGUCUUGAAUAUUGUUGAGGUUUGCGGAAUGGGUCAUGUAGCGGUGAAAUGCAUAGAUAUGACCCGGAACACCUAUUGCGAAGGCAGCAGGCUAAACAAAGAUUGACGCUGAGGCUCGAAAGCGUGGGGAUCAAACAGGAUUAGAUACCCUGGUAGUCCACGCCCUAAACUAUGAUUACUCGACAUACGCGAUACACAGUGUGUGUCUGAGCGAAAGCAUUAAGUAAUCCACCUGGGAAGUACGAUCGCAAGAUUG